CCUGGUUGAUCCUGCCAGUGGCAUAUGCUCAACUGAAAGACUUAAGCCAUGCAAGUGUAAGUAUAGUAUUGCUUUAUUUACGAGACUGCGAACGGCUCAUUACACCAGUUAUAAUCUACAUGACGACCGAGUCACAGACUCUUUACUUGGAUAACCGUUGGGAAACUAGGGCUAAUACAUAAAAGAAGACGGGACUUUUUUGAGGAACCGUUGGAGAUGUUUUAGAUUCAAAACCAAUGGUGGGGGGAAACCUCCAUCUUUAACACGGUGAUUCAGAACAUAAUUCAUAGCGCAGAGCCCAUUAGGGCGGCGCAACGUCAUUCGAAUACCUGACCUAUCAAUUGUGUCGCCAGGGUAGUGUCCUGGCGAGAUUUUAACGGGUAACAGAGAAUUAGGGUUCGAUUCUGGAGAGGCAGCUUGAGAAACGGCUACCACGACUAAGGUUGGCAGCAGGCGCGCAAAUUACCCAAUGAAGACAUUUUGAGGUAGUGAAUAGUAAUAACGAUGGGGGCCUCGUUUCGAGUCCCCCAAUUGGAAUGAGUCAGAUUUAAAAUACCGAACGAGAAACAAUUAGAGGGCAAGUCUGGUGCCAGCAGCCGCGGUAACACCAGCUCCAAAAGCGUAUUCCAAUGUUGCUGCAGUUAAAAGCUCGUAGUUGGAUUUGAUUGAGGCGAUACACUUUGGCCCGUGUAGAAAUCACGGAUAGCCGGGGGAUCGUCUCGAAGACAGCGAAGAGUCAGUGUAGGUGGCUGGUUAACUCCAGUGUACCUUGGCGGGGCGGAGAGAUUCGCGUCGUCGGCGCGGGCGUGGCGGGUUAAACCGCCGCUGACCUUAGCGGACACCUCUUCAUUUUACUUUGAAAAAAAUUAGAGUGCUCAAAGCAGGCGUAAUUCGAAAGAAAUACAGGCCAUUGAAUAGAUUAGCAUAGGAUAAUAGAACACGACACUUUCGCAUAGCUUUGUUGGUAGUUCAAUGUGGAAGAGUAAUGAUUAAAAGGGAGAGAUUGGAGUUCUGAGUAUUUUGAGGCCAGCGGUGAAAUGUGUAGAUCCUCGAAAGACUAACUAAUGCAAAAGCACUGAACUAGGAUUUACCCAUUAAUCAAGAACGAAGGCGCGGGGAUUGAAGAUGAUUAGAUACCGUUGUAAUCCGCGCAGUAAACGAUGCGAACCAAGGAUUGGAUUUUGGGCGUUAGGGAGCUUCUCGGAAGAGAACUCUCUAAACAAAAGAUAGCCUCUUCCAGCACUUUGAGAGAAAUCAGAGUUUUUGCGUUCCGGGGGGAGUAUGGUCUCAAGGCUAGAACUUAAAGGAAUUGACGGAAGAGCAUCACCGGGCGUGGAAUUUGCGGCUUAAUUUGACCCAACGCGAGACAGCUUACCAGACUCAGAGAGUAGAAGGAUAGACAGAUUGAAGCUCUUUCUUGAUUUAUUCGCUGGUGGUGCAUGGCCGUUCUUAGUUCGUGUUUUGAAAUGUCUGGUUGAUUCCGUUAACGAACGAGACUUCCGCCUUUAAAUAGC
rnacentral:rRNA from 1 species